UAAAUUGUAACUUAAGAAAGUAUUAUUUUUUACAUUAAUAAUUUAAUUGUGCAAAUCAAUUCAAUUUAA
rnacentral:tRNA from 1 species